rnacentral:rRNA from 1 species
GGAGGAUGAAGGCCCUCGGGUCGUAAACUCCYSYCWGGGGGGACGAAAUACCGGGUAACCGGUGCUGACUGUACCYYCGGAGGAAGCCACGGCUAACUCCGUGCCAGCAGCCGCGGUAAUACGGAGGUGGCAAGCGUUGUUCGGAAUUWUUGGGCGUAAAGGGCGCGUAGGCGGCGUGACAAGUUAGAUGUGAAAGCCCCAGGCUCAACCUGGGAAUUGCAUCUAAGACUGUUGCGCUUGAGUCUUGGAGGGGGUAGUGGAAUUCCCAGUGUAGCGGUGAAAUGCGUAGAUAUUGGGAGGAACACCUGUGGCGAAGGCGGCUACCUGGACAAUGACUGACGCUGAGGCGCGAAAGCUAGGGGAGCGAACGGGAUUAGAUACCCCGGUAGUCCUAGCCGUAAACGAUGGGCACUUGGUGAUGGGGGUAUUGAGUCCCUCAGUGCCGGAGUUAACACGUUAAGUGCCCCGCCUGGGGAGUACGGUCGCAAGACUGAAACUCAAAGGAAUUGACGGGGGCCCGCACAAGCGGUGGAGCAUGUGGUUUAAUUCGACGCAACGCGAAGAACCUUACCUGGGUUUGAACCGCCGAGGCUCGAUGCAGAGAUGUAUCUUUCCUUCGGGACUUCGGUAGAGGUGCUGCAUGGCUGUCGUCAGCUCGUGUCGUGAGAUGUUGGGUUAAGUCCCGCAACGAGCGCAACCCUUGCCCUCUGUUGCCACCAG